AGAUAGGAGUCAGGGCGCCUGGCCCGCAGGACACUAGAGAUCUGCGGAGGAGAAGGGAUGAGUCUGCCAGGCCCACCAGCCUGGCCCCCAGACCCUCCCCACCCCACACACGCAGACACGUCUUACAAGUCCUGUGAGAUAGGGGCUGCCAGCGUCUCCCAGGAUGUGGCCCACCGUGAUCUGAAGUGCCUCUGCCGUCCCCCGGCAUCUGGGCACCACCACAGACUGCAAAACAUAGGCACAGCAGGGGGGCACCCCAAGUGAGGGCACCCUUGCCUGCUGUUCCCCACCUGCCAAGGACCUGCCUGGAGGAGUGACAGGCCAUUCAGAAACCCCCCGAGAGGCAGGGGCUGCCCGAGGUAUGCAGAACGAGCUCCCCAUUGGAGGCGUAUGUCAACAAGGGGAUGGCUAGAAUUUGGCAAAGCAUUUAUGGACUGGGGAGCUUGCGGCGUGAGACCAGUGUUCUCAAAGCGUGCUCUACGGAAUGCUACGGCAGGAUCACUUGGGAAGUUCAUCAGAAAUGCAGGUCCCUGGACCCCAGCACGGACCCACUGAAUCAGACUCAGAGGACACAGGGCCUGGAAUCUGGGUUUGUCACAAGCUCCCUCAAAUCUGACUCUCAUGCACAAUGACGUCUCCAAGCCACCGGACCGGAGAGCCCCUGAGGUCCCUUCUCCAGAGAUAACCUGGAUUCUCCCCAUUGUGGAGAUGGCAUCAAAGAGAACAGUGUCCUGGACAGGCGCAGUGGCUCACACCUAUAAUCCCAGCAUUCUGGGAGGCCAAGGGGGGCGGAUCAUGAGGUCAAGAGAUCGAGACCAUCCUGGCCAACAUGGUGAACCCCGUCUCUACUAAAAAUACAAAAAUUAGCUGGGCGUGGUGGCGCAUGCCUGUAGUCCCAGCUAUUCAGGAGGCUGAGGCAGGAGAAUCGCUUGAACCCAGGAGGCAGAGGUCGCAGUGAGCUGAGAUCGCACCACUGCACUCCAGCCUGGCGACAGUGCGAGACUCCGUCUCAAAAGUAAAAAAAAAAAAAAAGAGAGAGAGAGAGCAGUGUCCCAAGGAAGGGAUGAUCUGGAAGUCAGUGGGGCCCACACGCCCACUCAGGAAUCUGCAGGACGCAGGUGUGAGUUCAUUCUAUCCUUAUAGCCUGGGGUGUCAAUGGUGGUUGCCACCGCUCUACCUACUGGACAGGUGAGCAAACCAAGACCCAGAGAGGUUCAGUCACUUGGCCAGGGUCACACAGCUAGUGAGGAGCCAGGCUGGGAGUGGGAGCAGAUGGGCUGCUGCAGAGUCCUCGAGCCUGGGCUCUGCUGCCCUCUGCCCUCUGACCUAACCCACAGGCUCCAACCACCCAGACACCUGCAGUUUCCACCCAUUUUCCUAUCAGCUCCUCGUGGCUUUCUUGGCCGCCCAAAGCUGUUCACGUGAACGUGCCCUGCCCUUAGCUUCCUGCUCCCUUGUUCUGUGGACCCUGUUCACACACACCCUAAGGCCUCCUCCCUCCCUGGGCCCCUGCUGAAAGAGAAGCCGAUCUCCUGUCUCAGGAGCCAGUGCCGGCCGGCAAAGGGGACCUUCCUCUACUUCCUGCCACAGACCCUGUCCCCACACACUUCCUGCCCCUGCUCUGCUGGGAGGCCACUUCCUCCCCCAGUGCUGGAUUCCACCCCCAGCUCACCCUCAAACAUGGCCCCCUCUCUCCUCCUGCUUGCCCCUCUCUGCUCCCUGGAGGCUGUUCUGUCCUCCCCUCUUGAAAAGCAAUGCCAGCUUCCUGGGAUCUUCUGCCAACUCCAGCUACCAUGCCCUUUGCUCCUGUCAGCUCAGCUCCUCAAGGGAAUUGUCUACCCUCGGUGUCCUGCUUCCCCUCCCUCACCCUCCUCACCCUGCUCCAAGCUGGCAUCUGCCCCUCCACUGCACAGAACGGCUCCCCCACCACCUGCCUUUACAGGGAGGAAGCAGCAACAUGGAGGAACCGAACUAUAGGGGCUACAAGGAUUGCUCAGCUCUGAUCCCCGAAGGCCAAAAGGCAUCUUUGGCCACGGGGCUCCGGGCAGGUGGGAAGGCAGGGAAGGGGGCGGGAGGCUCUGGGAUGGUGGUGCAAAGCAUUGUGGCUGGAGGCCUCCAAGCCAAGGAAGGGCCACAGGGAGCCCUGAGGUGGGCUGGUUCCUGUCCAGCCGGCUCCCUGGGCAGCUCCCCAAAUGGGUAAAACUGUGCAGCUGGCCAGCCCCUAACCCUCCUUCCACCCUUCCCCCACCCGCCCUCUCCAGCACACACUCUCCUCUUUAACCCCACAAAGAGCCUGGCUCUGCCAGGUUAAUCAUUCUUACAAAUGCAGACGCUGGGGGACACGGGUGCAGCCUUCACAUAUCUGUGGGGCUGUCAUGUGGAAGAGGGAGCUGCGCCGUGGGGGGCAGGCCAGGGAAGCUGUGGGGGCAGGUGCAGCUCUGUUUGGACCACCUCAGAGAGAACCAGCUAUGCUGGGGGGAUGUUAAUCUCCCUGAGCCUAAAAGUGGACAAUCCCAUGAAUAAAACAUUUGCCAAUGCC